rnacentral:misc_RNA from 1 species
CAGCUGGGCGAUGGAGCUGUAUCAGCGCGGCAUCAUUACGACGACACACACGGGCGGCCUCGAACUGACGUGGGGCGACGCCGAGCUCGUCGAGCGACUGCUCUUCAUGACGUCGCGGCGCGAAGGCUUUGGCAACGUCCUCGCCGACAGCACCCGUGCGGUGGAGAAGGGACACUACCCGGCGGAGGCGCUCAAGUACCGCAUGGCCGUGAAGGGCCUGAUGCAGAGCGACCCGCACGACGCGCGCAUCCUGAAGGCGUUCGCACUCGGCCUGGCCGUGUCCACGCGUGGCAUGGAUCAUCUACGCAACCGGGUGACGCUCGAGAUCAACGCGAAGAUCAACGACGAUCCCG